GGUUUCGGCCAAAUGAUAGGAAUGCUUAGUGGCGGACUGGUGAGUAACGCGUGAGGAACCUGCCUUUCAGAGGGGGACAACAGUUGGAAACGACUGCUAAUACCGCAUGACGCAUUUUGAUCGCAUGGUCGAAAUGCCAAAGAUUUAUCGCUGAAAGAUGGCCUCGCGUCUGAUUAGAUAGUUGGCGGGGUAACGGCCCACCAAGUCGACGAUCAGUAGCCGGACUGAGAGGUUGACCGGCCACAUUGGGACUGAGAUACGGCCCAGACUCCUACGGGAGGCAGCAGUGGGGAAUAUUGGGCAAUGGGCGCAAGCCUGACCCAGCAACGCCGCGUGAAGGAAGAAGGCUUUCGGGUUGUAAACUUCUUUUAAGUGGGAAGAGUAGAAGACGGUACCACUUGAAUAAGCCACGGCUAACUACGUGCCAGCAGCCGCGGUAAUACGUAGGUGGCAAGCGUUGUCCGGAUUUACUGGGUGUAAAGGGCGUGCAGCCGGGCAUGCAAGUCAGAUGUGAAAUCUCAGGGCUUAACCCUGAAACUGCAUUUGAAACUGUAUGUCUUGAGUGCCGGAGAGGUAAUCGGAAUUCCUUGUGUAGCGGUGAAAUGCGUAGAUAUAAGGAAGAACACCAGUGGCGAAGG
rnacentral:rRNA from 1 species